rnacentral:rRNA from 1 species
AUUGAACGCUGGCGGCAGGCCUAACACAUGCAAGUCGAGCGGAUGAAGGGAGCUUGCUCCUGGAUUCAGCGGCGGACGGGUGAGUAAUGCAUAGGAAUCUGCCUGGUAGUGGGGGAUAACGUCCGGAAACGGGCGCUAAUACCGCAUACGUCCUGAGGGAGAAAGUGGGGGAUCUUCGGACCACACGCUAUCAGAUGAGCCUAGGUCGGAUUAGCUAGUUGGUGGGGUAAAGGCCUACCAAGGCGACGAUCCGUAACUGGUCUGAGAGGAUGAUCAGUCACACUGGAACUGAGACACGGUCCAGACUCCUACGGGAGGCAGCAGUGGGGAAUAUUGGACAAUGGGCGAAAGCCUGAUCCAGCCAUGCCGCGUGUGUGAAGAAGGUCUUCGGAUUGUAAAGCACUUUAAGUUGGGAGGAAGGGCAGUAAGUUAAUACCUUGCUGUUUUGACGUUACCAACAGAAUAAGCACCGGCUAACUUCGUG